GUCGCCAUAGCUCAACUGGCAGAGCGUUCCUUUGUGAAAGGAAUGGUUGGGGGUUCAAGUCCCCUUGGCGACC
rnacentral:tRNA from 1 species